GUCUCAGUAGCUCAGCUGGAUAGAGCAGCGCCCUCCUAAGGCGCAGGUCGUGAGUUCAAAUCUCUCCUGGGACA
rnacentral:tRNA from 1 species